rnacentral:rRNA from 1 species
UGCCAGCAGCCGCGGUAAGACGGAGGGUGCUAGCGUUGUUCGGAAUCACUGGGCGUAAAGGGCGCGUAGGCGGCCUUGGCAGUCAGGCGUGAAAGCCCGGAGCUCAACUCCGGAAUUGCGCUUGAUACUCCAAGGCUGGAGGCCGAAAGAGGAGGGUGGAAUACCCAGUGUAGAGGUGAAAUUCGUAGAUAUUGGGUGGAACACCGGUGGCGAAAGCGGCUCUCUGGUUCGGACCUGACGCUGAGGCGCGAAAGCGUGGGGAGCAAACAGGAUUAGAUA